rnacentral:rRNA from 1 species
GCCUACCAAGACGAUGAUGUGUAGCUGGACUGAGAGGUCGAACAGCCACAUUGGGACUGAGACACGGCCCAAACUCCUACGGGAGGCAGCAGUAGGGAAUUUUCGGCAAUGGAGGAAACUCUGACCGAGCAACGCCGCGUGAACGAUGAAGUAUUUCGGUAUGUAAAGUUCUUUUAUUGAAGAAGAAAAAAUAGUGGAAAAACUAUCUUGACGUUAUUCAAUGAAUAAGCCCCGGCUAACUAUGUGCCAGCAGCCGCGGUAAGACAUAGGGGGCGAGCGUUAUCCGGAAUUAUUGGGCGUAAAGGGUGCGUAGGCGGUUAGGAAAGUCUAUAAUUUAAUUUCAGUGCUUAACGCUGUCUUGUUAUAGAAACUACCUUGACUAGAGUUAGAUAGAGGCAAGCGGAAUUCCAUGUGUAGCGGUAAAAUGUGUAAAUAUAUGGAGGAACACCAGAAGCGUAGGCGGCUUGCUGGGUCUUGACUGACGCUGAGGCACGAAAGCGUGGGUAGCAAACAGGAUUAGAUACCCUGGUAGUCCACGCCGUAAACGAUGAGUACUAAGUGUCGGGAUAAAACUCGGUACUGAAGUUAACACAUUAAGUACUCCGCCUGAGUAGUACGUACGCAAGUAUGAAACUUAAAGGAAUUGACGGGACUCCGCACAAGCGGUGGAUCAUGUUGUUUAAUUCGAAGAUACACGAAAAAUCUUACCAGGUCUUGACAUGCUCUGCAAAGCUAUAGAAAUAUAGUGGAGGUUAUCAGGGACACAGGUGGUGCAUGGUUGUCGUCAGUUCGUGUCGUGAGAUGUUAGGUUAAGUCCUAAAACGAGCGCAACCCUUGUCGUUAGUUACCAGCACGUAAUGGUGGGCACUUUAACGAGACUGCCAAUUAAACAUUGGAGGAAGGUGAGGAUUACGUCAAAUCAUCAUGCCCCUUAUGAUCUGGGCUACAAACGUGAUACAAUGGCUGUUACAAAGAGUAGCUGAAGCGCGAG